rnacentral:rRNA from 1 species
CGACCCCAGGUCAGGCGGGGACACCCGCUGAGUUUAAGCAUAUCA